rnacentral:rRNA from 1 species
CUUGCCUACGGGACGCAGCAGUGAGGAAUAUUGGUCAAUGGGCGCGAGCCUGAACCAGCCAAGUCGCGUGAGGGAUGACGGCCCUACGGGUUGUAAACCUCUUUUGUCGGGGAGCAAAUUCCGCCACGUGUGGCGGAGUCGAGAGUACCCGAAGAAAAAGCAUCGGCUAACUCCGUGCCAGCAGCCGCGGUAAUACGGAGGAUGCGAGCGUUAUCCGGAUUUAUUGGGUUUAAAGGGUGCGCAGGCGGAGGUGCAAGUCAGCGGUCAAGUUGCGGGGCUCAACCCCGUACUGCCGUUGAAACUGC